rnacentral:rRNA from 1 species
UACGUAGGGUGCGAGCGUUAAUCGGAAUUACUGGGCGUAAAGCGUGCGCAGGCGGUCCGUUGUGUCUGUGGUGAAAUCCCCGGGCUUAACCUGGGAAUGGCCAUGGAAACUGGCGAGCUUGAGUGCGGCAGAGGGGGGUGGAAUUCCGCGUGUAGCAGUGAAAUGCGUAGAGAUGCGGAGGAACACCGAUGGCGAAGGCAGCCCCCUGGGUCGACACUGACGCUCAGGCACGAAAGCGUGGGGAGCAAACAGG